ensembl:snoRNA
UCCUCCGCUAGAGUGUUGCAGGUGUGGCUGCUGUGUCACAUGUGCAUCACUUGUGGCAGAGAGGACAGUGGCUAUGUUUAUACUCAGUAUUCUGGUCUGUGAACAUCUGAAUGAAUGAUUAGUAGCCUAACAUU